rnacentral:tRNA from 1 species
GGAGCAGAUAGGCGCCGGUGUGCCUCCCGGUCUUCAAAACCGGUGCGGACGGUGAGCAGCCGCCCGGGUGGGUUCGACUCCCACAUGCCCC